rnacentral:rRNA from 1 species
AUUGAACGCUGGCGGCAUGCUUUACACAUGCAAGUCGGACGGCAGCACAGAGAAGCUUGCUUCUUGGGUGGCGAGUGGCGAACGGGUGAGUAACAUAUCGGAACGUACCGAGCAGUGGGGGAUAACUAAUCGAAAGAUUAGCUAAUACCGCAUAUUUUCUGAGGAAGAAAGCAGGGGACCAUUUGGCCUUGCGCUGUUUGAGCGGCCGAUAUCUGAUUAGCUAGUUGGUGGGGUAAAGGCCUACCAAGGCGACGAUCAGUAGCGGGUCUGAGAGGAUGAUCCGCCACACUGGGACUGAGACACGGCCCAGACUCCUACGGGAGGCAGCAGUGGGGAAUUUUGGACAAUGGGCGCAAGCCUGAUCCAGCCAUGCCGCGUGUCUGAAGAAGGCCUUCGGGUUGUAAAGGACUUUUGUCAGGGAAGAAAAGGGCGGGGUUAAUACCCCUGUCUGAAGAC